CUAGGAUGAAAUUUGUAAAAAAAUAGGCAGGACAGGAGUUUUGAGUUAAAAAAAAAGGCAGGAUGAGACACUUGCAAAAAAAAAAGUCAGGACGACAAUUUAGGUAAAAAAAAGUCAGGAUAAACUAAAAAAAAAAAAAAGGCAGGACCAAACAGAGUGAAAAAUAAAAAGGCAGGACAGAGAUUACAGCUAAAAAAAAAAUGCAGGACAAAAUUUUUCAUCCUAGCCCCCCCAUAAAAAUCAAAUGGUAGCUCCCUUAGAUAGG
rnacentral:lncRNA from 1 species